GGGGAGGAAGGUGGGGAGUGACGUCAAGUCCUCAUGGCCUUAUGUCCAGGGCUACACACGUGCUACAAUGGGUUGUACAAAGGGUUGCGAACUCGCGAGAGUAAGCCAAUCCCAAAAGCAACUCUUAGUUCGGAUUGGAGUCUGCAACUCGACUCCAUGAAGCUGGAAUCGCUAGUAAUCAUGGAUCAGCAUGCCACGGUGAAUACGUUCCCGGGCCUU
rnacentral:rRNA from 1 species